UACGGGGGGGGCAAGCGUUGUUCGGAAUUACUGGGCGUAAAGAGCGCGUAGGCGGGUGGACAAGUCUCUCGUGAAAGCCCACGGCUCAACCGUGGAAUUGCGGCAGAUACUGUCUUUCUUGAGUGCGGGAGAGGAGGGUGGAAUUCCCAGUGUAGCGGUGAAAUGCGUAGAUAUUGGGAGGAACACCGGUGGCGAAGGCGGCUCUCUGGUACGGUACUGACGCUGAGGCGCGAAAGCAAGGGGAGCAAACGGG
rnacentral:rRNA from 1 species